rnacentral:rRNA from 1 species
UACGUAGGGUGCGAGCGUUGUCCGGAAUUAUUGGGCGUAAAGAGCUUGUAGGCGGUUUGUCGCGUCUGCCGUGAAAUUUCGAGGCUCAACCUCGAACUUGCGGUGGGUACGGGCAGACUAGAGUGUGGUAGGGGAGACUGGAAUUCCUGGUGUAGCGGUGAAAUGCGCAGAUAUCAGGAGGAACACCGAUGGCGAAGGCAGGUCUCCUGGGCCACUACUGACGCUGAGAAGCGAAAGCAUGGGGGAGCGAACAGGAUAGAAACCCC